rnacentral:ncRNA from 1 species
GGAGGAAACCGUGGGAGUCCUCGCGCGCUAAGGGGACUGAGAGGGCAGCGUAUAAUGCCGACCGUUUGACCUGAUGCGGGUGAUGCCGCCGGAGGGAGAGUUGUGUUAGACGUCG